rnacentral:misc_RNA from 1 species
UCUCCGUUGGUGAACCAGCGGAGGGAUCAUUACCGAGUGCAAACUCAUAACCCUUUGUGAACCUAUAUCUGUUGCUUCGGCGGCUCGCUCUCGGGCGAGCCCGCCGGUAAUAUCAGUAUCUCUGUUUGAACCCGACGAUACUUCUGAGUGUUCUUAGCGAACAGUUAAAACUUUUAACAACGGAUCUCUUGGCUCUAGCAUCGAUGGAGAACGCAGC